GCCUAGGUGGCUCAAUGGUUGAGCAUCUGCCUUCUGCUCAGGUCAUGAUCCUGGCGUCCUGGGUUUGAAUCCUACCUCGGCG
rnacentral:tRNA from 1 species